GCCUCUCGUUUUCUUUUGGAACAGUGGAAUGUUCAACACGAAUAGCUGGCAGCUGGGUGCCAGUCUUUUCUCUGGGGCAAAUAGUAACACUCAGCUGUGCUACUUUCCCAUUUGGGGCCUCGUUUUGCCCAUCUCUACAACAGGGGUGAUUAAACCUAAUGAAAUACAAAGUGCUAUCCAGAUUCUAGAGCUUCUCUCUAGUCCUCAGAGUCUUGAAUUCUUGCUAGAAACGAAACCUCACUUCCAAUUACCUAACCCUGAACCAGGUAGUGGGCACUUCCCAUUCCUGGCAUACAUGAAGGAAAGCCUUUGCCAGCAGCCAUGAUGCAAAGCACCAGGCCCUUUGAUGUCCUUCACAGUUUGGGAGGGGUUGCUUCUGUGCCUCCACAGUGCUGCUUCUCGAACUUUCCCCGUGAACUCUUUUAGACUGUUUUGCUUCAUACUCACCCCCAAGUUGUAUAAUUGCAAAGCCUCUUGGACUGCCUGUGCUCUUUGUGUCUGUUUGGGCUUGGUUGCUAUAGAGAGAUUUUU
rnacentral:lncRNA from 1 species